GGCCAAACAGUCAUAAAGUUAUUCCCCGUUCAAACAUUCUCCUUCAUUUAGCGUUCAUUCCUACCAAUCACAUCAAUGUCUUUGUUAUUUGGACGCCAGGAUUAUUGGCUUUUGGGAAUAUCUAACAAUGUACUCUUAAUGCAAUGCACAUUGAUUGCAAAGUGAACAUACAAAUCUUGUGAAAGAUGCAGGGUUUAUGGGGUUGAUAGAAGUAAUGUUAGAGAAUUGCUCAACGUCGCACUCGCUGAGACUUUGAUAAAUGAAGCCUUGGCAGAAUCAGACUGGUUGACAACUGAGAGGGUAAAGGACUUGCAGGUCGAUUAGCUAAGCACCCAAGUGAAUAUUGGGACAUGAAAGGGUUUAGGGAAUCCUCUGGGAAGACUAAGGAGGUCCUCACAUGUUUUUUGUUAAGCAAUCCUGUGAAGCAUGCAUCACAAAUUAAUUGCGGUAUUUACUAAAGUACAAUUUUGUUGGAAAAUUACACCAAAAUCUGUACAGCUUUUAACUUGAUUGAAUCCUAUGGAGACAUUUUUGUUUUCAUCAUUUACUAUGAAAUGUUGGUCCCUAUUUUAAGUGAGUUUGCUUUAAAUCACUCUUUUAUUUCUCAUAUCCAUUAUCCUUAGAUAAUGAACAUGUCCUAUAUUUCAUUUAACUUCAAGAAGCAGAAGAUUCUUUUAUGUGUUGAUCUUUACAUCCUUCUGGUUAAAAACCACAAAGUUGAGGACUGUCAUUUUGAAACUCUCCCUCAAGGAUUUUUUUGGUCAGGUUCAUAGAUAUGGAGUGUCAGUGAUGACUCUAGGGAAUAAAACUAUUGUGCAACAAAUUGAGUAAAUUUUGAUUAACUGGGAAGAACUUUUCUGAAACUCCAUAAACAGAGUAACUCAAUAUUGUUUUGAAAAAUGAGAAUGUCAUUGAAACCAAAGGGCAUGGACAUGAAAUAGAUGAAUUCUGGGUUAUUUAUUGAAUGCCUCUCAUGGAUAGAAUUUUAUAAAGUCCUAUGUGGUUUGAAUAAUUUGUAACUAUGCAUGUUUCUGCUCCCAAACAUUUUAAUCAGUAAUGAUUCUGCAAAAUAAAACACCCUCCAAGAUAUUUUUACGCUGUUUGGUAAUCUAAGAAUGAAUUAUAAAAAUAACCCUCAUAAUUAGAUUGUUCAGGUUUAUCCAGUAGGGUGGAAUUACUGUUAAUUUGAACAGGUGAUCAAUUUCUGUUGGGACUUAACAAUGACAGUAAAAUUUAGACUCAUAUUUAGGCAUUUUGCCUCCUUACUUAGCUGUUCAACGUCACCAUAGUUUUUGCCCCAAUAUGUCUAAGGCUGAUUACCAAUGAGUAGGGCUGUUGGUAGGGUGACCAUAUAACUUAUCUAAACCAGGGCACUUUAGAGGGGUAACUGCCCCUCCUCUGACUCUCUGCCCAUAGACUACUCUCCCCUGAGCUUUUGUUUUAUGACAUUCCAUGUGGUUAUGUCUUUUUUCCCCUGUUCACGUAAGAGCACCUUGAGAGAAGAAACUGUUUAUCAUUCUUCACUUGUGUUUUCCAAGCCAAUAGAAGGUGCUUAAUAAAUACAUGUUUGAUGAAUGAAAGAACCAACAAAGAGAUGAAUUAGGGAGCAUUUGGUUGGUCACCUCUGUCUCUCUAAAUCCGCAUUGACUGCAUAUCUUCCAUCUGCUCUGGAAUCCAUUGUCUACCCUUCUCCAUCCUACUCUGUGCCCCAGGAGGCUAAACCAACAGGCUCCUUUGUCAUCUGGCUUCUGACAUUAGAGGGUGGGCAGAGUAAGGUCUGGACUAGGAAGGUCUUUUUGUACAGCUACUCUUCCUAGGGUCCUAUUACUUCUCCAUCCAUCUAAGGCAUUUGAAGGGUAGGGGUUACAGAGUCGUCCUGAAGCCUUCGGUCUCCACCUCAGCACCUCUGCUAGACCUGGGAAUUUUUCCUUACCAAUUGCCAAUACCCUGCCCACACCAUUGCAAGCCAUCCAUUUUAAAAAAUACUCCCAAAUUACCUGCUUUGGAUCUGCCAUUUUUUCCCCCAAGAACACUGAUGUAUCUCAUAUAUAUCAUGUCAGGUAGAUAGAAAUGUAUCCUAUUACAAGUUAGGACUUAGACUCUUUUUUUAUUCUGGGAGAACAGAUUCUACCACUUCCCUUGGUAAAUUUCCAUUGUUUCACAACUAGAGCAAGUUUCUCUGAGCCUGCUAUAACUUGGGCAAACAAGUUAUGAUGAAGCUGUCCAUUGUCUUGAAGAACUAAGCACGUUGUUCGCAGAAAUUGCAGAACUAAGCAGACAUUAGCCAUUGCUGACAGUUAAAUGUUUUUCAGAAGAGUAAGAUAAAAUGUCGCUUCAUGGAAGAAACUAAAAAUACUUUUAAAGUGUAUAUUGUGCAUGAGCUUUUUUCCCUAUUCUGAGUUGCCAGGCUGUGGGUGUUGAAAACUCUUCAGAAGAUUUGGUCUGUCAUGUUCAGAUGGUGGGUGGCAAAAGAAAUGCUAGGUUAAAAAAAAAAUACAAGACAUUCACUCCAUUGUCUCUUGCUUAAGUGUGAAUUGUAGAAUGUUGGAUCCUAAAAUAAUAUGAUCUGGCACAGUCAAGGCCAGCUGGCAGAUCCCAGGGAGAACAGGUUACAUGUGAAAUAGCAGCUCCAAACCAUCCCCCUCCUGGUUCUCAGGCUACCACCUUGAUCACUCUUGCACUGAUUCUCACAAAAGACAGGGUCUUUUCUUUUCUUUCCUUUCCUUUUCUUUUCCUUUCUGGCCAUACCCGUGGCAUAUGGAGGUUCCCAGGCUAGGGUCCAAUCGGAGCUGUAGCCGUCAGCCUAUACCAGAGCCACAGCAAUGCAGGAUCCAAGCCACAUCUGUGACCUUCACCACAGCUCACGGCAAUGCUGGAUCCUUAGCCUACUGAGCAAGGUCAUGGAUCAAACCUGUAUAUUCAUGGAAGUUAGUCGGGUUUGUUAACUGCUGGGCCACGACAGGAACUCCAAGACAGGGUCUUUUCUAUCAGAUCUAAUCUUAGAAAUGGGCAAGGUAGCCUCAGUGAACUGGAAUUUCUUUACGAAAAAGCGGUAAAAUAUUUUUCAUUUGCAACAUUGAUGUGUCCAAAAAGAGAAUGUUACUGACAAAGGUAAAUGAGAAAACAAAAGGAGAUAAAAAGACUUCUGAUUGGUUGACCUGGGAAAUCGCUUGGCGUUGUCACCAGCUCAGUAUACAUCUAUCUUCUGUUCCCUGAUUUCAUGACACAGAGACUCCUUGACACGCCCUUGGAGCACCCAGAUAUUCUGUGUAGUGAAUAGCCCUUCCACACUGUGACACCACCCACGCUUCCCUACCCCUCCCCAGCUUCCUGCAGGAUAUAUUCUGUGGUCUGUGACUUAGUUUGUUCAGGCUAAUGAUAUCCAUCGUGUGACCACCCCCUAACGUGUACAGCUUGCAGACCACAAACUCACUCUGAGAGUACCCUGGCCAGGGUAUCCCUCCCUAGAGGAGAAGGGAACUUGUGUUUGGUCAGGUGGACCAAGAGCAUGUAAAAUCUGUGCAAAGAAAAUAAAAGGCACCUAUAAGUUAGCUGCUGAUUUCUCAGCUUUCAGUCAAAUUAUUUUUCUGAUUUAUUCAUUCAAAAGAAGUUCUAGGCAUUAGGGAUACAUCCUGGAGCCAAUCAAAUUUUAAUUCUGUCAUGAAGGAAAGGGGAGUUAGAUAAUAAAGGAAUAAACAAAAUAAUACAAAACUCCUUUCACCUUUCCUGUGCCAUGGUUUCAAAGAGAAACAAUGAAAAUAAAGUUUCUUGUAAAAAGUAAAGCCAAGCCCUGGACCACACCACCAAACAAGCCCUGACACCAGAGGCAGACACACCUUCCUCCACUGAAGCCACCCCUGAGAAAGCAGUGGAAAUUGCAGAUGCAUUGGGGGCCCAAAAAUGAAUACAGAAUUUAGGGCUGCAAGAGCCUCUGACCUGCAGACAGAACUCAGUCCUCUUGGGCCCAUAGGAACCCACGUAGUUUUCAGAGGUUCUUGGAAGGAAUGCAUGUACCCUCAGUAACAUAUUCCAGGUAUGAUGGCUUUCAGUAAAAAGGUGCUUGUCUUUGUGUCUAAACCAAACUCAUUUUGUCUUGCACUAUUCUCAGGGAGAAUUGAGACCAGAUGCUCACCUUCUUUAAGAAAAUAAACUUUCAUAUAGCUAUAGAUUAACAGCCCAUAAUUCCUUAAAGAUUUCUUCCUGUUUCAUUGUAUGCCUCUAUCCAUAUUAUUAAAAAUAGAAGAUUUGUGUAAAUAAGUGUUACUUGGAAGGGAAUAUGUGCAAGUUGUCAGUUUAGCACCCCUUGGAGAGAUCCCAGCUGAUCCAGGACCAAGGAAAGCAAAGCAGAUAUCUGAUGACACAGGUUUUAUUAUUGUUACCUCUAUCGUAUUGUUGUGGAUAUUUGAGUAGAGUUUGAUUUGGAAUGGCAUCUUCAAGUUAUUUGUUACACGCAGGUCCCAAUGCUGCUUGCACAUCUGAUCAUCUGGGGAGUUUAUAACAGACAUGUACUUAGGAUGUCUCCUUGGAUAUUCUGAUUAGUAAACUGGGUCAGGUCAGGAAUCUUCAGUUUAAAAAGGUUCUUCAAAUGAUUCUAAAGUACAGGCAGCUCCAAGAACCAGUGAACUGGGCUAACUUCAUCCUUUAGUAGAGAAGAGCAUCUGUGGUUCCCCACGGAAAUAUCAGUGCCACGGAGUUCCCAAGGCUGUUCAUUUCUCCAGAGGACAAAUUUAGGUACCAAUUACAUCCUAACAUCACAAGGUUAAAGUUAGUCUCUUGUUCUUCAGAUGUCCCCACUCUAAUCCUAUCUCUGUUCCCAGGAAUGACACAGGGCAGACCCAGUUUUCUCCCUCCUUUUCCCUUAGCCAUUUCUUUUUGCAGCUGAAUGGAGGGAGGGAAGGUUCCUCAGCAGCUUCUGUUUCCUUCACAUGCCAGGGUUUCUGGACUCUUCCUGACACUGCCCAGAAUGGUAAAUAGCAUUUGUCGUGCGGUCCUCUCGAGGCAUGUCUGUUGGGUUGCGAUUGUUUCUUAGAUAAUAUUCCUAGUAAUACCCACACUUCAGAAUGGCCUGUGCUUCUUUAUUCCUUCUUUUCCUCUCCUUAAACAUCAAUAUUUCCAUCUUCUCCAGGACCCUUUUGAUCAGAUUCUUUAUGCCAUGGGAAGGGCUGUCCAGGUCCUACAGCAGAAGGGUAUUCGGUGAUGGCAUAAAAGGUCAGACAAGGUGGGAGAGAAGCAGGGACAUGUCACACUUAACUGCAGGAUGCAUUAUGUUCAUCAGCGGUGUUUAUAGUAAAAGGAAAAUAAAACUAUGAUUGCCUGUAAACAGAGAACCCAUGAUGUAAGCUAAUAAAGGCAUUAAGGCUGCAUGAUAAGCCUGAAUCCAGCAACACAUUAUAAAAUACCUCCUACACGUUGUGAAGAGGCAGAGUUGUCAAACCAGGUCUAUAAAUUUUCCCCAACAGACACAUCCUGUGCUUCUACCUGGUAACUGUAUUCAAACAAUAGAGCUCUUUAGCAUUGCUUUUCAAAAAACUGAAAACCCUCAAAAGAUGUACAAUGAAAAGACAAAGGUGUCUGUGAGUAGAAUUGAGUGGAGUUACUGAGACAACCGCGGAGACAGCUUAAAGGCACACUCAGAGUGGAUUUUACCUCAAGUACUGGGAUGGUUCUGUGAACUUUAGUUAACCAUUUUAAAGGGAAAUUGUAAUCUCAGAAUCCUGGUGUAUCUGUGUGUGUCUGUGUGAGUAUGCACACAUGCACAUAUGUACACAAUGUUUUAUUUUUAAUUAAGAACGAAUUAUUUCUAGGAGUUCCUGUCAUGGCUCAGUGGUUAACAAACCCAACUAGGAUCCAUGAGGAUGCAGGUUCAGUUCCUGGCCUCACCCCAGUAGGUUAAGGAUCUGGCAUUGCCCUGAGCUGCGGUGUAGGUCGCAGAUGUGACUCAGAUCCUGAAUUGCUGUGGCUCUGGUAUAGGCCAGCAGCUACAGCUCUGAUUUGACCCCUAGCCUGGGAACCUGCAUAUGCCAUGGGUGUGGCCCUAAAAAAGACAAAA
rnacentral:lncRNA from 1 species